AAUUACUGGUUACUAAGCAAUUGAACACUGAACCACAAGGAACUGCAGGAGAAUAACAAGAAAGGAGUCAAUCUAGGAACAAACUAGAAGGACACAAUCAAACAAAACUCAACCCAAUGAGGAUAUAACUCAGGGGAGUAAUUCCAUCCCAAUACAUAUCUGUGGAGGAAACUGAACAAAAAUCAUCCACGAGGACAUAACUUAGUCGGGAAUAUAGAAGGAAAGGUAGACACUUUUUGCCUACAGGGCUGACUCUAUAUGGAGAGAUCAGACAC
rnacentral:lncRNA from 1 species